UAACGGAGGGUGCAAGCGGUUAUCCGGAUUCAUCUGGGUUUAAAGGGUGCGUAAGGCGGGUUGGUAAGUCCGUGGUGAAAUCUCCAAGCUUAACUUGGAAAACCUGCCGUGGAUACGAGUCAAUCUUGAAUAUCGUGGAGGUAAGCGGAAUAUGUCAUGUAGCGGUGAAAUGCUUAGAUAUGACAUAGAACACCAAUUGCGUAGGCAGCUUACUACACGAUCAUUGACGCUGAGGCACGAAAGCGGUGAGGAGCAAACAGG
rnacentral:rRNA from 1 species